AUAGGUAUUCAUUUAUAUACAUUAUAUAUAGACACUUCUUUAAAAAAUUACUCUGAUCCUCCAAAUAGAUAGAUAGAUAGAUGUCAAUAACCCCCAAACAUAGAUGCUAGCAAAACUUUGUUAAAUUAUAUAUAUAUAUAUAUUUGGAGAGUCAGAGUAAUUUUUUUAAAGAAAUGCUUAUUAGUGAUGGAAGUUCCUGAGUCAUCACCCUCCAAUAGCUGUCAGUGCUAUCAAACAAUAUCAAGCCAUCAAGUCUCCUCACUCCCAUCUUCAGGGCCUGUCUGUAACGCAGCCUCUGCAAGCACCCAGCAGCAUCCCCUCUUAUCUCUCUCCCCACCACUCAUUAUGUGCCACUGUGUUCUCGGGACACCUCAGGCUUCUUCCUGACUUUGCACCUGCCCACAACCUUCUUCCCCAGGUCUUCCCACCACUGGGUACUUCAGACCCCUUGGGAGUGAGUGCUACGGUGCGUUUGCCUCCUCCAGGAAGCCUUCCUGGCCUCCUCUUGAAAGUAACAUGUGCCCCUGUUAGUAUCACGUCACUCUGUUUCUUUCUUGCACUUAGAAUCUUCUGAAAUCAUCUUCCUGGGUCGAGUUUUGUGUUUACUUUCUUUCUAUUCUCACAAAAUGGAAGAUGCCGAAAGACAGGCUCUUUGCAGUUCUGCUCACCGUCGUACCCCUGAUGCCUGCAGACAGAGCAGCCUGCAGGAGGGCUGCCUAAACAAGCACUUAACCUGAAAGAGGAAAGAAUCGGAUCCCUGCAGCCAAUGGGGAGAUGGUGAAUGCUGGACAGCCAGCUCUGGAGGCCAGGGUGGCAGGCCCGCUGGUGUUUGCCAGCUUCCAUGGUGCAAAUGCCUCCCCAAUGUGGGCAGUUGCAGGAGCCAGCCCAUGCACUGGGCGUGGAGGUGGGAGGUCAGCAGCCCGCGCAUCGACUACAGACACAAUGGAUGUCAAUCACCCCCAAACACAGAUGCUAGUAAAAUGUAGUUAAAUAACUAGGAAAGCAUAUGUUUUGGGUGUUUCCCACCUUUGUUCUUUACAUCAUUUAUUUAAUUUUGAAAGUGCAUGGAAUGUCCUGUUUACUAAAGGAUGUGCUUCAACAUCUCACAAACUUCCUGCGAGUUGAGGCGUUGGCUCCUGUCCUCCAGUAGAAGCUGGCUCCAGCACACCCGUGCUGACAGCACCCUACAGUUUCCACCUGAGUUCCGCCGGUGAGCCCUGCCCGGGAAGGAUUCAGACCCAGUCCCCCACGACCCUGAAUCUCAGGCCCUGUGGAGAAAGAUGUUUGCUCAGAAAUGACCCCAGUCCCUAGGCAGCAGAGUGUGCACUGACCCGGGACACGCUCCCCCUGAUCUGUGGCCAUGACAGCUACCCGGGGUGGGAGAGCGGGGUGGGAGAGGGGUGGCCUUGGCUCCAGGGGUAGCCUUGUUCCUUCAUGUGUAUGGCCCGAACCCUUCCUGCUGCAGCUGGUGGAAGAGUCAGGGAUGGAAUACAGGGGCUGCAAGAGGAGGAGGGGAAGGAAGGACCGUCUUGAGGUUUGGGCAGCUGUGCUGAAAACAGGAGUGAAGAUUUGGCCGCCCUGGGGGGUGGGACACGUGGCAUCAUUUUCUGCCUCAGAAGUGGAAACAGACUCAGAGAAGUGAGGCUCAUCUGGGGUCACGUGGGAGGAAGAAAUGAGCAAGGAUCCUGUGGGAAGGCUUUGCCCCCUCUGCACACUAUGUACCUAUGAACACCCACCUAGGACACAUAAAGAAUAAGAGGUACUGUGUACUAUCAGCAUUUAAAACACUAGAAAUGAGGCCGGGCACAGUGGCUCAUGCAUGUGAUCCCAGCAAUUUGGAAGGCUGAGGUGGGCGGAUCACCUGAGGUCAGGAGU